GCUCUGAGCUAGUGAAUGGAGAACGAGGUUAAACUUUGGAUUUGCAUUGUAACACCAAAUACAUGCACUUGAAAGAUUUACAGCAAAAAUGGGUCUGAGAGUUACCUGGUUUUGUGCAUUCUACUUGCUAGUUAGUGUAGAGAGAAUGGUUAUGCAGGAAUUUCUUCCCCCAAAAAUCAAUAACUGAUCAAUCAAGCUGAUGUCUAUCUACACCAGUGCACGGGUAACAAACAGAAAACCACUGUGCAAGAGCAGAACUACGACACAAUUGCCAUUACAGAAACAUGGUGGGAUGACUUGCACAACUGGAAUACUCCAAUGGAUGGCUAUGAACUCUUCACAAGGGAUAAGCAGGGAGGAAUGAUCCUGUAUGUUAGGGCAAGUUUUGAUUGUCCAGGGCUUAAUGAUGGUGUCAAUAGCAUUGAGUAUGGGUAAGAAUCAGGGGAAAGGCCAGCAAGGAAGAUGUCAUAGUAGGAGUGUUAUAGACAACCCAACCAGGAUGAAGAAGCAGAUUAAAUAUUCUAUAAGCAGCUGGGAAAAAUCUUACAAUUACUAACCACGUUCUCAUGCGAAACUUCAACUUAACAGGUGGAAAUGCAACACCACAGAGAGGAAGCAGUCUAGGAGAUUCCUGGAAUGUGUGGAACUUUUUAACACAAGUGUUAAGUGACCCAACUAGGGAACGUGCCCUGCUGGACCCAUUGUUUUUGAACAAAGAAGGACAAAGUGAUGUGAUGCUUAGAAGCUGUCCUGGGCACAGAAAUUAAAAAAAAAAAAAUGAUAAGAGUAGUAGCAAAACAGUUACCUUGGACUGCCAGAGAGGAGACUUUGGCCUCUUUAGGAGACUGGUUGGGAGAGUCCCAUGUGAGGCAGUACUGAAGCACAAAGAGGAGUCCAGGAAGGCUAGACAUUCUUCAAGAAAGAAAUCUUACAGGCGUAGGAGCAGGCUGAAAGAUAGGGUGUUGAGGAAGAAGACCAGCCUCACUGAAUUGAGAGCUUUGGCUGGAACUCAGGAAAUAAAGGAGAAUUUAUGAGCUUUGAAAGAAGGGGCAGCAACUCAGCAGGACUACAAGGAUGUCAUGAGGUUAUGCAGGGGGGUGUUAAAAGCAUGAAACAGAACUUAAGAGACAAUAGAAAUGGGUCUACAAAUACAUCAGGAAUAAAAGGAGAAUCUCUACUUUUUAUUGGAUGCAAGGGGAAACAUAGCGACAAAAGGCGAGGAAAAGACUGCACUAUUUUUUUGCCCCAGUCUUUAAUAGUAACACAAAAGCUGUUCUUUAGGUACACAGCCCCUCAGCCAGGAGACAGGCACAGAGAGCAGAAUGAAGCCCCUAGAACCCUGUGGAAAUGAUCUGGUGAUCUGUUACUCUCAGACACACACAGACUUAUGGGAUGAGAUGGUAUCCCCCAAAGGUACUGACAGAAUUGGUAGAGGAGCCACUUUCAAUCAUUUAUCAGAUGUCUUGUCUCACCAAGGAGGUUCAGUGGGAUGGAGGUUUGCAAGUGUGACACCCAUCUACAAGAAGUGAUGGAAGAAAGAUUUGGGGAGCUACAGGCCUAUCAGCCUGGCCUUGGUGCUGAGGAAGGUCAUGGAGCAGAUCAUCUUGAGUGCCAUCAUGCAGCACCUACAGGACAGGGGAUCAGAAACACCCAGCAGGGGGUGGGAAAGGCAGCUCCUGCUUAACCAGCCUAGUCUUGACCUAGUAAGUGGAUGAGGUAAAGGCUAUGGCUGGUGUCUACUAGGACUUUAGUAAGAACUUUGGCACCAUUUCCCACAACAUUCUCCUGCAGAAAGAGAAUGGCUUGGGUGGGUGUGCUGUUCAUUGGUUAUAAUCUGUCUGGAUGGCUGGGCCCAGAGAGUGGUGGUGAAUGGAAGUAAAUUCUGUUGGCAGAUGAUCACAAAUGGUGUCCUGCAGGUCUCAAUAUUGGGAUCAGUCUUGUUUAAUAUCUUUAUCAAUGAUCUGGAUGACGGAAUUGAAUAUACCCUCAGUCAGUUUGCAUAUGACACCAAGUUGAGUGGGAGUGUUGAUCUUCUGGAGGGUAGGAAGGCUUUACUGGAGGAUCUGGACAGGCUGGAUCAAUGGGCUGAGGCCAAAUUUCAAGGUUCAACAAGGCAAAAUGCUAGAUCCUGCAUUUGGGUCAUAGCAACCCCAUCAGAGCCGCAGACAUGGGGCAGUGUCUGGAACAAUCCCUGGUGGGAAAAGACUGGGGGUUCUGGUUAACACCCAGCUGGACAUGAGCCAGGACUGUGCCCAGGUGGCCAAGAUGUCCAGAGGCAUCCAGGAUUGUAUCAGCAAUUGUAUGGCCAGCAGGACCAGGGAAGUGAUUGUUGCCCUGUACUUGGCACUGGUGAGCUUGCAUCUCAAAUCCUGUGUUCAGUUUUGGACCCCUCACCACAAGGACUUUGAGGCACUGGAUCAUGUCCAGAGAAGGAUGAUGAAGCUGGUGAAGGGUCUGAUGCACAAGUCUGAUGAGGACCUGGUGUUAGUUAAUCUGGAGAAAAGGAGGCUGAGAGAUUUGUUGCUCUCUACAAUAACCUGAAAUGGAAAAAUUUCUUCACCAAGUGUUGUCCAGCAUUGGAACAGACUCUUCAGUGGAACCAUCCUCCCUGCAGGUAUUCAAAAAACAUGUAGAUGUGUCACUUAGGGACAUGGUUUAGAUGUGGACUCAGAAGUGCUCAAUGAGCUUAAGAAUCUUUUACAUCCUAAAUAAUUCUAUGAUUCUAUAAUCCUCUACAGAUGAAUUUCAAAUGUGCCUGAUCCUUACAGAGGAUUUUAUAUGAGAAAGGUGGAAGUAUGCAACCCUAUGCAUGGUGUUCAAAUUCUACCACCACAUGCUAUUUUUCCUAAGUGUAAUCCUGGUGUGACUCUGGUGAAAUAAAAGUCCAUUACAGGCAUAGGAAGAAGCAAAUUCCUUUUGCACCCUAGACACACGUUAUUGAUUGAAGUGACUGGCUGAGGUUCUGCAGACGAAUUUAUGCACAUCAAAAGUUAAGAACCUCCUGGAGGAACUUUAGUCUCCUUGAAGUCAGUAGGAUUUGGAUUCUGAUGGUGAAAUCUUAAGCCAUCAAAAAUGACCUCUGAACUAAAAAAGCCUAUUGACAUUUCUGACACCAGCUUUUGAGUCUUGGAGCCCCAUGAUGCACCUGCAGCACAGAUCAAGCAAUGUAAAGGCUCUUAGUGCAAAUGAGAAGUAGGCUCCCAAGAGCUUUUCAUCUGAUGAUUGUGAAGUGAUUCAUACUGCACUGCUACUGCUGCCAUUACCUAUGAGAAGACAGAACGAACUGGAGGUGAUUGACAGUUUUGUAAAUCAAGACAUAAGUACUGAGCAGGGAGUACCUGAAAACUCAGGUGAGUGUUUGCAUGGCAACCCAAAGUAGCAGAACACAUCAGUGAUGAUAUGGCAUUAGCAGGCUAAAUUUAUACCUGCCAGCACUCCUCAGAAGCUCUGUACCAGACUGAUCAACUAUGGAAAAAAGACAAGGAAAUCUUUCCUAAUAUAUGAGAAGCAGACUGAAAUCAUACUGGCCUUUCUGCAUUUCUUCGUAAAUUAUUCAAAUCUUUCAAAGUUUGUAUUUUAUACAUGAGAUUUGAAGCCCUUUUGAUGUUACAUUUUAAGCUGUGUAAAGAUUGUGUUGCAAUAAGUGUUUUGUCUGAAAUUUUCCAUACCAUGAAGCUUGAAGCAAUAGAAGGUAUAAUGUGAGAGUUACAAAAGGGGAGAGGAUGGGGCAGAGGUGAAGGCAUGAGACAAAGCCUGGACAAGAAAAUUUUUUGGAGGGACAGAGGAGAUUUCAACAAGAUACCCAGAUGUUGGAAGUUCUGUAUCUUAGAAUGAUAUUAAGUCACUUGCAGCAGGCUUUUCACUUCUCUAUCAUUAGGUGCCUGGUCUAUAUCCAUGAGAGUACCUUUAUGGAGGGAACUACAAAAUUAUCUUAUACCUGUAUGUAACCCCCAUAUGCUUAAACUUGUUUUAUUUCUAAUGCUGUAAAAUCCACUAGUUUACCUGAGAAAUCUUAAUACUAAAUGUAUGAGUGCGAAGUAGGCUGAUAAUAUAAUUUUAAGAUGGUUUCAUCCAUGAUUUCUUGUUUUAGCUGCUCCUAUAGAAAUGGGGGAUCUUUUUGGGUUGAAAUUUUGUGUCAUUCUUCGUCCUAACAAUAAUUUUCCUCUGAUAGAAAGAAAGGCAGGAAGGGCAGGGCAGGGCAGGGCUGGGCAAGGCAGGGCAGGAAGGAAG